GGCUGCAGUUUGAGGCGAGCGGGCAGGGGGCUAAGUGGCUGAUUGUAAAGGGGGGCUCUUGUCAUGAGAUGUGGGUUUUCCAGUGGAGGAGUGACUGGUGGAUUCCCAUCGCUGCCGAAACGUCAAUGCAAGCCCUUUAUAAAUGACCACCUCUCCCUUUUUUUUAAAAAAAAAUAUCAGUUCUUGUGUCAGAGUUCCGUCAGAAGCAUCAUUGCCGGUGACAAAUAUUUAAAUACUGCCAGAACGGACGGUGUUAUACGUUUUUUAUCUUCAUGAGGGAGACUUGGGCCCAUUUCUACCCCUUACCCCUUCCCCUUCCCCCUCCCCCUUGUUUUGAAGGGGUAAGGAGAAGGGGUAAGGGGAAGGGGUACGGGGUAGAAAUGGGAUUGGGCCUUAUAAUGGCAGCUAUUGGGCUCUCUGACUGUCCUGUUGCUAUUGUCCAUGGUGUCCCACCUGGUGUGUGUGUGUGUGUGUGUGUGUGUGUGUGUGUGUGUUCUCUAUAGCGCUCUUGGCUAUAGCAGCAUGAGUGAGUCAGGUCCCUGGUAGUGUCUCACUCCAUUGUGCCCCCCCCCCCCCCUUUCACACUGCAAAGGACAAUGAUGCCCAGUGUCCUCUGGCUCACUAUGUCAUAGCUCACAUUCCAAGUGAUACACACACACACACACACACACACACACACACACACACACACACACACACACACACACACACACACACACACACACACACACACACACACACACACACACACACAGACACACAGAACGCAGUUGGCCUCUGACAGCGUAGCCUCGAUUGGUAUCAAGGCCAUUUUAAAUUCAUGAACUAUUCGGCUGGUAUUCAGUGCAUGUGGGAGAAUGUUGUCUGAUUGUGUGUGUGUGUGUGUGUGUGACAGAGGGAGGGAUUCAGAACAGCAGGUCUCUACUGGAUCAAACAGGCUUCAUCAGCACUAAAGGAAGGGAGCCGUUUGGGUAAAGAGGAGAACGGAGCAGGAGAGGAUGAAAGCAAAGACAAACUCUCUGUAGUGUCUCGGAUAUUAGAAUCAACAACUACGUAGCUAAAUGACCGUUGCUCUUGCUUGCUCCCAGUCUCUUUGCCCACCCCUCUUGGUUUAUAUCUGCACAGUGACGGCUGGGAGGAUUGUGUCAGUGAGCCAGGACAGGUGUGAGCCACAUGUCUCUCUCUUUUCCUAGUCUUUUCGCUUCUCUCUUUUUCCUUUCCUCUCUCUUUUUAGUCUUUCUUUCUGGUACCAUCCAACCUUUGACCUCAUGGCUAGCUCCCCCUUCUGCUGGGUGGGGGGGGGGGGGGGGGGCUAUUCCAACUCAAACAUUCACAUACUGUUGAGGGAGGAUAGAUCACUGCUGCUGGGAUACAGCAUACGUAGGUGUACACGGUUUUAUGUGUCAAAACAUCAUUAUCUGGUGUGUUCCGACAGCUGUAUGUGUAUCAUAUCAGCGAAUUGCCCCCUGAAAUAGGUCUCUUCUCUCUCGCUUUCUCUCGCUCUCUUCUUCACCCCCCCCCCACUCCCCCUCUCGUUGCCCUUCAGAACUGUGGCGGCAUCAAUAAUUCAACGGCGCAUCGGAGAACAUAAUCUGCUGUGCCCCAUCCCUCCGUCUCACUCCCAGCUUUAUCUCUCUUUAAAGUCCAGUUCCCUCUUGUUGGUCCCCCCCCCCCCCCCCCCAUCCACUCUGCUGCACUGUGAUUUCCAGUCUCUCACACACAGCUGUUCAGUGUGACGGUGCCCCUGUGUUCUGGAGCUCACAAUCUGCUCUCACCCCCCCCCCCCACCCCCAAACUCCCAUCGUCUGCCCCAAUCGUGUAAGUUGGGGCGGGGUCUCCGAGGGGCCAGCGAGGUGGCUGAGAGGAAAGGGUGGGUCUGUCCCGGUAUGCUGCACAAUAGAGGGAAAAGAAGUGCUCCGGUUCUCCUACCCACACCUGUUGGGGUUGUGACGCUGGAGCUGUCCUGUGCGCAGCUCUGUCCCGUAACCUGGUGAGAUAACCCUCUCAUGCAUACAUGCCUCUCGGACAUGUAUCCUUUCGCAGGCAAACAAAGACGCCUGUACGCACAUAGAAACACACUCGGGAGCGGAAUACCUAUGGAAAUACUGCACACAGAAAAAUGGUGUGUGUGUGUGUGUGUGUGUGUGUGUGUGUGUGUGUGUGUGUGUGUGUGUGUGUGUGUGUGUGUGUGUGUGUGUGUGUGUGUGUGUGUGUGUGUGUGUGUGUGUGUGUCCCAGGGCAUUUAGGCUCCGUCAUUUAAGAAAUGUAAAGAAAAGACUGCUUAGCCUCCUGCUAAUGUUGUGUAACAACCAGUAUUGGAUUUUUUUUUUUUGCCUAGUCUGGACAAUAUAGCCAAAAUCUGUGUAACUUGCCCUAGUGCUAUGUUGAGCAUGAAAGCCAGUACUAUGUGAAUGAUACCUUUCCUACUAGUCAUGCUUACCAAACUGUGUGCAUGCAAUCUUGGGAGUAUGGCAGUGCCUUGUUUAUUGUUAUUGUGCUGUUCGCGUGUCCCCAGUUAUACCCAGGGUUUUAGCAGGCUGAAAUUACACAGGUUAGGGUCCCACUUAAUGACUCAUGUUGAUGCUAAGGAAUGCUCUCCAGGAAGGUUGUGGGAUUGUGUUUCUUUUAAGCAUGACAGUGAAAAUAUUGUUUGGGUUUUUUGUUUAGUUUCAGUGCUGUGUGUGUGUGUGUGUGUGUGUGUGUGUGUGUGUGUGUGUGUGUGUGUGUGUGUGUGUGUGUGUGUGUGUGUGUGUGUGUGUGUGUGUGUGUGUGUGUGUGUGUGUGUGUGUGUGUGUGUGUGUGGUGCAGGGUUAGGGUGUUCCCAGACUAUCAUCCCACUGUGCUCCAUAGCAACCCAGAGUGUUUGUCUGGAGGCGGGGCUGAUGGGAAUGGAGGCGGGGGCUUUGCAGAGCGCUCCCUUCCAGCUCCGGGUGGAGCAGUUUGCAGGGACCUCUGGGUGACCUUUCACUGGAACUGAGAUCCCCGUCUUGGGAUGCUGGGAAUAGGAGUUGGUUUUUUGUGUGGUCACUUGUGGAAUCUGAAGCAGAAACAGAUUUUCUCUUCCUGAUUGCAGAAGUGAAAUCAGAACUGAAUGACACUGGCACGCACCUGGUGGCAAGCACACGCACACACUGUGACCAAUAAUAGCUGCUUUUGUUUCCAUGGACGUCAUGUUGCUAUUGUCUCUUGUUGUGUCCCACCUCCAGUCUCCUAUUCUGACUGAGUCCCUACCACCACGUUCUGUCUUACCGCUGCAGUAUUCGUGUUGGAGGAACUAAAGUAACAAAAAACAAGACAAAUCCAAAUGUUUGCUGCUCAGAUUCUAUCAAGUUCCUAUCAUUUCUAUCAUUUCCUCAUUCCGAGCUGUUCUCUGUUCAUUCCAGUUCAAUGUGGAUCUGUGUUUCUAUAAGCAAGCCUUGAUUGGUCUGUUGGCGGGAUGUGACAUGGUAGAGUUAAGCUGUGAAUAGCAGGACUCCAGAAUGUUGAUCCUGUUCUUCCUGUUAGAGGAAGUAGGGCAUAGUAGCCCCCCCCCCCGUCCCGUCCCGUCCCGUCUCUAUUUUGUAGUUUAUGACCUAUGUUUAUGGCACCAGGGUACCGCUCAGCGUGGGGGUCCGAAUUGUCUUUCCAAUGUCACAAUCAAUGCAUUCCGUACUCUCUCAUCGGUGUUCCUCACACUACAGGAUAUCAGAUUUUUACAUUAAAUAUAUUUACGUAAAAUAAAAUCUUAACAUCUAGCACACCACAGGAUAAACAGGGGGAAAGGUAUGCACCCAUAAUGGCAUUCAGGCAUGCGUAUCCCAUCCUUGUUUUUUUUCACCCCCUCAGCCUUAUGAACACUGAAACAAGUUUUACCAUGUUUUCCCAUUGACUUCUUGUUAAGUAAACCAAGUUUAAGGGAGAAAAAAACAAAACGACACAAAGCUUAUGAAACGUGCACGCAGUUGAAGAGCCUGCGGCUACAGCACAGCCACUGGGAGCAGAGAGGGAUGAAGAGACAAUCUCUUCUGCUCUUCUAUCUCCCUGCUGUUUUCCCACUCUCUGUCUUCCUGCUGCGUACUUCAUUCUGCUUAGGUGUGGAGCAUCUCUCUCUCUCUCUCUCUCUCUCUCUCUCCCUCUCUCCCUCUGUCCCUCUGUCCCUCUGUCCCUCUGUCUCUCUCUCUCCCUCUGUCCCUCUUUCUGUGUGUGUGUGUGGGGGGGGGCUUUCUAUGCCUCCACGUGCCUCUUGGCCCACUUUCUCCAAACCCACUUUCCCCAUCUCCUUAUGUCUCUGCAAACGCCGGGGAUUUAGGGUGCGGGAGAAGCGGCUUGAAAAGAAAGCAGGAGGAUUGAAGGAGCUGAAUAGCGGAAUGCGGUCUUCAAAUGGACGCGUGGAAAUGCACGCAUGCAUGCACUGCAGCAAACCGUUGGCUGUACGUUCUCCACGGAAAAGCAUGCCAUGCGUUAAAGGCACGGUUGAAAUAUUCAUCUGGAAGUGGGUCCCUUCUCCCCCUCCCCAACCCCCACACCCCUCACCCCUUGCCAGGUUUGAGCUGUGCCUCAGAUGACGAGCCAUGGCACAGCAUCUGUGCAGAAAGCGGAGCUGUGGGUGUUGGUGGAAUAUUGUUGCUGUGUGUGUGUGAGAAGAGAGUACGUGUUGGCUGGUUGAAAAAUGGUGGCUGUGUUUCAUUGGCUGGCCGUCGUCACCGGCAACCCUGAUGCUCUCAGCUGCACCUCUGCAGGAGUCAUUACACAGCAAGCUCUUUCUUUCUUUCUUUCUUUCUUUCUUUCUUUCUUUCUUUCUUUCUUUCUUUCUUUCUUUCUUUCUUUCUUUCUUUCUUUCUCUCUUUCUCUCUUUCUCUCUUUCUUUCUCUCUUUCUCUCUUUCUCUCUUUCUUUCUCUCUUUCUUUAAUAUACUUGCACACACACUGUAAAGCCUGAGAAUUACUUAUAUUUCUAUAGGAGCGGACGAGGGAAGGAGGAAGGGGAUUUGUGAUUAAGAGAUUGCAGUGUGCUGCAGAGACUGAUUCAGCUCUUUUUCUAACAACUGUGAACACAGCUGCUUUCUCCCUUUCUGACCCACACAUAUCACACUUUCAUCUCUUUUCCCCAAGGCCCACUCCUAGAGCUCCUCUUCUAUUGGACCCCUUCAACUCAUUGAUGUUCACAAUUUCAUGCUUUAGCACCGGCACAGGCGUAGAUGUGGAGCCAUGAGCGACGGAAUCAUCCCAUAUUUAGCCUUAAUUGUUCACAUCACGCUGCUGACAGCACAGCUCGUUAAACAAAUAACAUACCUCUGGCUGCAAGAGUAUCUGCAAGAGAGAGAGACACACACACACACACACACACACACACACACACACACACACACACACACACACACACACACACACACACACACACACACACACACACACACACACACACACACACACACACAGAGUGUAAUAAGGAAGGCUGCAUCUGCGUUCCUUUAGAUUUGUAUCAGUCCUAGUAGAAUGCCUCUCCAUACCUCCACUGUCUCCUUUCCAUCGCUGCCUGGCGGUAGGCUCCAACUGUUGGUCCUUAUCUCGGGGCAUGGACACACAGUGUAAAGGAGCUGGCAAAGGCAGUGCUGUCAGUGACUGUGACCUUGUAGGUGAACAUGGAGAUUGGGAUCUCUGUUAACGAUCUCUGCAAUGUUUCUCCUUCAUCGCCUUCCCUCCCCAUUGUCGUGAGGUAAAUAUCUCCAGACAUCAGCAGAUACAGCCCCCCCCCCCCAAUUCUCUCGUUUUCCGGCAGCCUGACGUCCUUCGGAAUGCAGCGAUAAGUCGUCUCUGCAUAGAUACGCCAACGCUGCGAAUGCAGUCCCACGCCCAUGCACGUUUGGCACUAUCGCAACAUCUGUGUGUGGGUGUGUGUGUGUGGUGGCCUCCAUCUCGUUUGCUAGGUGGGCUUUCUUGACAGCAGCCAUCCUUCAUACCGGCGAGUCGACGACGGGAAGCGAACACACCUCUCUCUCGCUCUAGCUCUCUCAGAGAGAGAGAGAGAGAGAGAGAGAGAGAGAGAUCCACUGAAGAAUGCAAGAGCUGAGGUGACUGAGAGGGUGAUGAGUGAGAAGAGGAAGGCGUAAUGACUUGAGAGCUCUCCACUGGUGUCUGGACGGGACUUAUAAACAUCCAUCCUUCUGGUGGAAUUAUUGGAAUCCUCCAUCGAACAUGCCACUAACGAGGAUGAUGAAAACCAAGAUGUUUUACCAGAUGACUCUGUGUCCGCAAGUGAAAGAGAUCCACACUCAUUCAUUAAUUUUCCAUCCGAAAGUAUCCGCAGACUCAGAAGAUGCUUGUAAUGCCUAAUGCUCGGAGAGAGAGAGAGAGGAAGAGGCAUGUCCAAGUCUGUCCUGCUGGAUCUAAGUCACCCGGCUGGCCGUGGUGGGACAGACAGUAGUGCAGGCAGUCACACAACCCUCAUGCUCCUUUUCCAAUGCUAGUGGUGAAGAUUAGGCAAAUCCCUGGUCUAGCUGCUAAGCUGAUUAACAGGGACGUUAUGCAUUGGCCCUUUGGAAACACUGAAAAACCCAAUAAACCCACAGACAGUUGGACCCCCCCGCCAGAUUAAUAUUGUCCGGUCCUGCACGCCCAGGGCGGUGUCAUUAGUGUGUCUGUGCAUGCAUACAUAGGCACUUGUCAUUCCUUUUGGUCUGAUACCUCUCCCUUCAGACAGAUGGCUCAGCCCACUUGAUGGUACCCAUGUGCGAGCCUGCAGCAAAAGUGUGUGUGUGUGUGUGUGUGUGUGUGUGUGUGUGUGUGUCAGACUUGGGUCCAGAUGGCUAUGUCCGGCGGUGACAGGAAAUCGAGAUGAAUCCAGGUGGAUGGGGUGGCCUUGAAGAUGCAGAACACACAGAGAGAGACACACACAGAGAGAGUCCAGGGACACACAAGCUGGUUGGCUGCUUCCGUUCAUAGGAUAAGACGUUUGUUUUGUGUAAUUGGUAAGUAAGAGUCUCAUUAGUUUAUUGAAUUUCUGUAGAUGGUUCGUGUGCCCCGGUCAGCUGUUUAUCCCAACUAGAGUCCAUGAGCUGUCCUCCCCACUGACGUGCUCCGAGGCAGUUUAAAGGCCAAAGCAGGAGACUUUAAAUGAAGGAGUAGCUGGUUACCUUUUUAAUAAGCACAGCCAUUUAAUUAUUCAAAAGCCUGCCCCAAUCUCCACUGAUCUCUUCUGUCAUCAUAUUAGAUCAGAGCGUUGGUAGACUCUGGGGUUGGGUUUGAUGCCGGAGGCCAGAGGGGGAGGUGGUCCUGCUAUUUGAGAGAGGGGUACAAUGUGUGCCAGUCCCAGGUGGCAUCCUGGGUAGAAGAAGGAAGAAGGAGGGUUCAGUGUGGAAGACGGUCAGAGGGGAUGUUCUGCAGAAGGGGUUCAGGCUGGAUGAGUUUAUAUUGGGGGCGGGGGGAGGUUAGUUCCAGCUAGUACUGAUGGCGCUGUAGUGUUUUUGUUUUGGUCAGUUGUUAUGGGAGACUGACCUCCGUCGCUGGCUGUGUGACCCACGAUGACCCCUGACCAUUCUGCCCCCUAUUCCCCCCCCCCCCUCCCCCCAACCCCCGGUUCUCGAGCCAAGUAGAGUGGGAAGACCCCCCGUGUCAGAGCCCACAUGGCAGGAGGAAACUACCGGAUACGUUUCCCCUGUGUAGUCACCUCCUGUGUAGCCAUCACAAGACUUCCUGCCUUUCCUCCCUUUCCUUUUAGCCAGAGAUGGAGUGUCCACUCGUAGUAAAAAGUUUCCUACAUUGAUUUCCACGCAACGCCGCUUGGUGAAAAGAAAAAAGAAAAUAACGUGAGCCAUGAUGGUUAAAACAAACCCUAAAUCUCUCUUCCUCAAUUCCCCUCCCCCCCUAUAUUUCUCACCCAACCCCUCGCUCCUACUAGAGUAACGCAAGUCUGCUGCGGUUUGGCUGUCGCAGGGUUUUCCAUGUAAGAAAAAAAGGUCUAUGCCGGUUAACUUGCCUCCUUUAAGGCGACACUGCUUUCCCUGAAAACAUUGAGUUCCGUGUGAAAGGAAAGGCCCGAGUGUGUGUGUUUGUUUUGAGAGGAAAGGUCCAAGACCUAUGGAAAAGGCAUUGGUUGGAGUCUUUCCAUUCCAGAAACAGUUUUCCCUCAAACUGUACUGUAAUUCUAUCUCUUCCUCUACUCUCUGUGUGUGUGUGUGUGUGUGUGUGUGUGUGUGUGUGUGUGUGUGUGUGUGUGUGUGUGUGUGUGUGUGUGUGUGUGUGUGUGUGUGUGUGUGUGUGUGUGUGU